rnacentral:rRNA from 1 species
AGAGUUUGAUCAUGGCUCAGAAUCAACGCUGGCGGCGCGCCUAACACAUGCAAGUCGAACGAGAAAGUGGAGCAAUCCAUGAGUACAGUGGCGUACGGGUGAGUAACACGUGGGUAAUCUACCUUUUAGUGGGGAAUAACCAGGGGAAACUCUGGCUAAUACCGCAUAAGCCUGAGAAGGGAAAGCAGCAAUGCGCUGAAAGAGGAGCCCGCGGCCGAUUAGCUAGUUGGUGGGGUAAGAGCCCACCAAGGCAGAGAUCGGUAGCCGGCCUGAGAGGGCACACGGCCACACUGGCACUGAAACACGGGCCAGACUCCUACGGGAGGCAGCAGUGGGGAAUCUUGCACAAUGGGGGAAACCCUGAUGCAGCGACGCCGCGUGAGCGAUGAAGCCCUUCGGGGUGUAAAGCUCUUUCGUCAGGGAAGAUAAUGACGGUACCUGGAGAAGCAGCUGCGGCUAACUACGUGCCAGCAGCCGCGGUAAUACGUAGGCAGCAAGCGUUGUUCGGAGUUACUGGGCGUAAAGGGUGUGUAGGCGGUUCUUUAAGUUUGGUGUGAAAUCUCCCGGCUCAACCGGGAGGGUGCGCCGAAUACUGAGGGACUAGAGUGUGGGAGAGGAAAGUGGAAUUCCUGGUGUAGCGGUGAAAUGCGUAGAUAUCAGGAGGAACACCGGUGGUGUAGACGGCUUUCUGGACCAUAACUGACGCUGAGACACGAAAGCGUGGGUAGCAAACAGGAUUAGAUACCCUAGUAGUCC